UUUCACAAGUCAGUGAGAUGUUUUUUUCAUGAAAUGCUCAACAGCACCUUAUUUGUCUCAGGAGAAGAGAUCCUACUUCCUCCUGAACCCAACCUGUGUUUCCCUGUCACAGUUUUACAAAAACACAGAGACACUCAUAGACUCACAAACUACUAUACCCUGUCAAUAAAUGUCCCUUGAUAUUGUCUUCCCAUAUCAAGUAUUAUGCUAAAUUCUUCUAAUGUGUUAUAUACAACAAGCUUCACUUCAAUGAAUGUAUUUUUCUUUGAAUUUCCUGACCACUAAAAUUUUCAGAUAUGGGGAAUUGGGUCUGAAUUCACUGCCUGGACUAUGAAUUUCAAUCUUAUGCUAUGUCCUUCCUUGAAGGUCAGAAGAGGCUCCUUAAUGCUGAGAGCAGAGUAACACCAUAAAUUCCAGGACAUGUAACAGGCCCUUUUGAGGCUCAUCAAAGGCUAUCCAAGGAGAAUAAGAUCUGAAAUAACCACAGGUUUGCUUGUUUGAAUGGAAGUGAACCACCUCAAUUUAAAUGGGAGAAAAAUUUUUAAAUAAACUUCUGUAACAGAA